CUGCUCUGCAGACUGCUCCGUGCCGGCCCCAGCCUCGGAAACUCUCCAAGGAGCUGCCGACGCAGUGAUGAGCCAGCUCGGGCUUGGAACCCAACCGGGCUAUUUUUAAAAGCUGUCUCCCAAAGCGACGCUGUGACACAGAGCAAGCUGCGUGCAGAGGAGACGCGGCCCAGCCUGUGAGGAUCUCCAGACCUCACGUCAGCUGAGGUCGGGAAUACCAAAGGAGGAAGACAGGCUUCUGAGAGGUCAAGAUUUACUGGACUGUAUACAAUUCAAAAAUUUGUACCUAUUCAGGUUUGGGAACAGUAUUAACCUAGGAAUGCUUAAGCAGAAGAAGUGUGGAAAACAAGCCUGAAAAUAUUCCCCUCUGAAGGACGAGAUCUUUGAACUGCUGUGCGAGUGUGUACCAGGAAUUUCAGAUGACUCGGACAAGCUGUGGUUGAUUGACGAUUGACUAUGAGAUACACGAUUAGGCCUCAUAGCUUCCAGAGGAUGUGCCCUUCCUUUCUGACAUCAGUGUCACGACUGUGGCCAGACCGAGAUUCUCCCACGCCGAGCACAGCAUGGGCACCAUUCUCCAGGACUUCACAAAGCCCCUUCCGGCCGGAUUCAUUCUCAGCCCCCGCCAACCUCCGGGCCCUGCUGUGAGAGGGCCCUUCCCUCUCUCCUCAAGCUUGCAUCGCGCAUGCUCUGGUGAAGCAUUGGAAGUGCCGGCUUUAGAGGCUGUUCUGUGGCGUCUGUUCUCUGGACAGCACCCUGAGAGUUACUUACCUCCAGUGAAAUCUGCCGGGAGGUAAACAUCUUAAUCCAUUCACAGUCCAUGCCACCAUAUUUCAGCCUCAGCACGGGGCCAAAAAUAAUGGAGCCAGCAGGCCAUGGACCGAAACCUCUGAAAUUGUGCACCAAAACAAAUACUUCUCCUUGUAAGUUGUUUACCUCAAGUAUUUUUUCCCAGCAGCAGAAAGCUGACCAAUCCAAUAGUUGUAGAUUGAGGCUCAUGGUGGGCUUGAGGGGUCCCCAGACAGCACCCCGAGCCUCCUUGAUUGUCUCUACCGGACCUGACAUGGCCAAGAGAGGAAAAGGUGCUGAACAGAAGAGAGACCUGUCCAGAACCACCCUGGGGUCCAAUAGUGUAGGGUAAGAAAUGUGAGUAGAGAAACGUGCAGCUUUGAGGUGCUGACUGCCUCUACAGGACAUUGCUGGCACGGGAUCUUGCCACCCUUUAGAUCCUCUGACCAUCCUUAAUUCUCCAGAGAAAUGACAGAAUUAUUUCAUAAACUCUAGUUGUACCGAGCAUGAUAACCUUUAUAGUGCUGCUAUGUCACAAAUAUCACUGGUUCAUGAGAUGAGCCUGGAUAUCAGUAGACCAUUCACCAUCCACCUUCCAUCUUCCAUCCAUCCGUCCAUCUUUCCAAGGUCUGUAGGAAUGGCCUAGCUCAAAAC
ensembl:lncRNA